ensembl:lncRNA
GGAGGCAACGCGGUGUGCUUCAUCGUCAGCGCCACUCGGUGGCAGCCCACGACCAAAAGGAACACGGCACAACUGCUGCCGUCACUAGCUGAGCCACGCAGGGAUUCGUAACGUGACUUGACGUCUGCUGCCUUGGAGGAGGCAGGAAAGCGUCAUUCCUCCGAGGAAGAGGAGCCUGACAACAAGCAGUUCAUUUCACUCACGGAAUAACCCCGAGGAAAAUACUAAUUAGCAUUAGUCUGCAAAGAUUACAAUGUUCGCAGCGCGUUUGCGUGUCCUGAUGAGGCACGUGUGAUUGAUGUUGUUAAUCUUCAGCGAACAACACAAGCAGUGUAUUUAUUUGGGGGGGGUAUCUGACAGGGGGGGCCCUGUGAUAGGACGGGCUGCGCUGAGACCGGGAGCUCCACAAUCAGUCUGUGGAGCAGCUAAUGAUGUCAUGUAUCUUGUCUGAAUGUCCUUGAGUAAGACAGGCAUCGCCAUACAUUUUCCCAGUGUCACACGUCCUCUCCUUGUGUGUAUCUGCCGCCCGUCAACAGGUCGUAACACUUGCCUUCUAAAACCACCACGGUUUUCGAUACUAUGCUCUGGGUUUUGCCUUUCCGUGAUUAAAUAGCCGUCUUCAGUUGGCGAAGAAACUGGCAACCUUCCUGUGAUAAUCCAAUUUCUGUGACCUCUGGGCUUAUGUUGCGCUAACCAGCUGUAUGUGUUCACAGCUCUCUGUGGUGAUAACACAAAUAAGCAGCUUGAGGCAAAUCCUGUUUUCUUUUCCAAAUGUUAGGCUCCAUUUGGAGGUAAUGACACCGAAAAAGGAGCUUUGACUAUACAAGUAGACUGUUGGAUUCAGGGGUUUAACGUGAAAGGAGCACACACGCGCAUACGUUUUGCAAUAUGCUCCUCUCAAAGUCAAAAUGUGUUUGGAGCGGGAGGUGAGGAGCUUUUCAACCUCAAUGCAACUUUCACACGGAGCACAUUUGGGAUUCAUUGGAGGCUGAUGUCACACGUGUUCGUGACUCAUAUUUUUGGUUCGGACAUUUAAAGUGGAGAAUCUCUUUGCGGAUUCUCUGUGUUUGUGUGUGUGUGUGUGUUUUUUUUCUUCUAAAAGCGGUUGCCGGGCUGUUUCAUCAGCUUCGGCUCGGGGUUCAGAGCGGGUCAGGCCUCGACCCGCCCACCU